UAGGGUGAACCUGCGGAAGGAUCAUUACUGUGAUUUACUUUCUACACUGCGUGGGCGCAAACAACACAUAAACAUGUAUACCACUUCAAAAAGUUUUUAACACAAAACUUUCAACAACGGAUCUCUUGGUUCUCGCAUCGAUGAAGAGCGCAGCGAAAUGCGAUACCUAGUGUGAAUUGCAGCCAUCGUGAAUCAUCGAGUUCUUGAACGCACAUUGCGCCCGUCGGUAUUCCGGCGGGCAUGCCUGUCUGAGCGUCGUUUCCCUCUUAACCUUGCGGUUAGACCUGGCCCGGCCACCGGCCCCGCCGAAAAGAAACGUUGCGGGCCGAGCGAACUACAUCGGGACGCUUGGCCGCCGAGAACUUACAAAGCUCGACCUCAGAUCAGGUAGGAAUACCCGCUGAACUUAAGCAUAUCA
rnacentral:rRNA from 1 species